rnacentral:rRNA from 1 species
CCCGCUGAACUUAAGCAUAUCAA